AAGACUGGAAUAACCUCCGGGAAACCGGGGCUAAUGCCCGGAUAAUAUGUUGGACCGCAUGGUCCUACAGUGAAAGACGGUCUUGCUGUCACUUAUAGAUGGACCCGCGCCGUAUUAGCUAGUUGGUAAGGUAACGGCUUACCAAGGCAACGAUACGUAGCCGACCUGAGAGGGUGAUCGGCCACACUGGAACUGAGGACACGGUCCAGACUCCUACGGGAGGCAGCAGUAGGGAAUCUUCCGCAAUGGGCGAAAGCCUGACGGAGCAACGCCGCGUGAGUGAUGAAGGCCUUCGGGUCGUAAAACUCUGUUAUUAGGGGAGAACAAAUGUGUAAGUAACUAUGCACGUCUUGACGGUACCUAAUCAGAAAGCCACGGCUAACUACGUGCCAGCAGCCGCGGUAAUACGUAGGUGGCAAGCGUUAUCCGGAAUUAUUGGGCGUAAAGCGCGCGUAGGCGGUUUCUUAAGUCUGAUGUGAAAGCCCACGGCUCAACCGUGGAGGGUCAUUGGAAACUGGGAAACUUGAGUGCAGGAGAGGAAAGUGGAAUUCCAUGUGUAGCGGUGAAAUGCGCAGAGAUAUGGAGGAACACCAGUGGCGAAGGCGACUUUCUGGUCUGCAACUGACGCUGAUGUGCGAAAGCGUGGGGAUCAAACAGGAUUAGAUGACCCUGGUAGUCCACGCCGUAA
rnacentral:rRNA from 1 species